CUUGCCUGCACCUGCCGGCGACCGGCGCACGGGUGAGUAACACGUAUGGAACCUGCCCGCCACAGGGGGAUAACCCGGGGAAACCCGGCCUAAUACCCCAUGCCGCCCGGACCGGGCAUCCGGUCCGGGCGAAAGGAGGAAUCCGGUGGCGGCUGGGCAUGCGGCGCAUUAGCUUGACGGCGGGGUAACGGCCCACCGUGGCGACGAUGCGUAGGGGUUCUGAGAGGAAGGUCCCCCACACUGGAACUGGGACACGGACCAGACUCCUACGGGAGGCAGCAG
rnacentral:rRNA from 1 species